GGCGUGGGCUUGGGAGGAGGGCAGGGAGCCGGAUUCUGCUCUCAUGGCCCUGACAGAGGUUGCCUGGCUUUGCACGGUGUGACCGAGUGUGUGUGUGUGUGUCCACCAGAGAAAGUGCUCCCUGAUGUCUCCCCCAUGUGUCCCCCAAUGGGAAACCUUGCAGCCCUUCCCUGGAUGGCUUCGGGCCAUCUGUUCCGGGGGUGCAUGGGCUUUAAAGGGAAGGCAUGUGGGGGAGACGGGGGAUCCUGGGCCGCUUACACAUGCUGGACCUCUGUGACCUGUGUCAUGUGACCCGGGAGAGCCCCCGAUGAAGGCUGAUCUCAUGGAGCAGCCGGCCCCGGAUCUUAUGGCUGGCAGAAGCACUGGUCUGCAAAGGGGCUGCGGGAGGGGGAGAGGUGCCUGAUAUUCCUUCCCCGCCCCCGAAGGUGGAGCCCCUCCUGAGCGGGGCAGAGCAUGAGGAACGCCCAGCCGCCCAGGCUCGCCCUUCCACGGGAGGGUGGGAGCAGGGGCAAGACUUCUGCAGGCCAAUGGGAAAAUUCCCCAACCCCCUCCCCCGUGUGCAGCCCCCCGGAUUUGGGGCCGUGCCCAGCAGGGUCGUGGCGCUGUCGAGUGCUCUGCAGCUGUUGCCUGGCCCUCUGCUCCUGGGUUUUAUAAAUAAUGCAGCACAGAGGCGUGUUGGCAGAGAGCGAUGCAGACAGUCGGGUCGAAGGAGCCUUCAGCACAGAGCGAGAGAGAGAGAGGCUUGUGCAACUUCAACCUUGUGGUCGCUGAAGAUAGCUGGGCUUCGUCUGGCUGGCGCAUUCACCUGCCCUCUGCUCAGCAGCCCGGGAACGGCCGCAGGGGCCCUGCUGGAUGGGAGCUCCCUCGCCUGCCAGCCCAUCGGCCUGGAAAACGGAGCCAGCCCGCCAGCCGAGUGGUUCCAGCGCGCCCAGGGCUCCGGGCUGCGCCAGCCCCACAGCGAGGCGGACGGCGGCGAGAGGAACUUCAAAGUGAAUCUGCACUGCAAGCACUCGCGGCCAAGAGAACUCAAGUGUAACAGCCGGAGCAGCAAGGCCGAGGGUCCAUGCAUCGGCUUCCCCGAUACCCAUGUCAGCAACUGUUCCACCAAGAGGCACCCGGGGGAGGAGGAGUUCAGGAUGCGCGUGAAGCCCCCAGGCCCAGUGGUAACGUCUGGUGCCAUCCGCAGCUCACCUGACUACGUCCGCGAGCCCAAGUUCUACCAGGCAGGCCAUCCUGGGCAGAGGCCGGCAGCGUGCCCGGCAGAGAAGGCCUUAUCCUGUAGCGUGCUGAGCUUCCCUGAGGGUUCCUGCCCGGCGCUGGGCCGGGAGCACCAGUCCAGCUCACUGCUCCAUGGGGACCCGGCUGACAGGUGCCAGAGCCUCCACGCCCUUGGUCCCACCAAGGGAGAGGACUUCUCGGCCAACGCUCUGGGCUGCGCCAGCGACCCCCAGAUCCUGGUAGGGGGCCUGGAUGAGACAGCCACCCACGACCGCGCCCCCAAGACCUUCUCCAAUGCGACGUUGGCCUCCAGCCGCUGUAACGUCGACAACAUCGUCUUGCUGCUGAAGAGCAAGUGUGGCAACGGGCGAAUCAACCUCCACCCGGUGGUGCAGCUGAUCGACAUCAUGAAGGACCUCAGUCGGCUCUCUGAGGACCUGAAGAACAGCGGUGUCCACCUGGACUGUGGCAGCCUGCGGCUCAACAGCCACCCAGCCCCCAGCGAGGAGAGCCGGACGCUGGCCAGCACCGGGGACCGAGAUCUCCAGUACAGCUUCUUCUCCUCAGCCACGCUGGCCAACAGCAUUCGCAGCCCAGAGGAGAGGGUGGCACAGUGCAACGCCAAACCCGAGCUGCCCAGGCAGACUCACCCUGCCCCCUCUGAGAAGGAGAUGGAAGGAGGCAGGGAAAGUCCCCAGGUACCAGGAUGCCAGAGCAGCGCUGCCCCGGCCUCAAAGCCACCCGGCAACCAGGACGAAGCCAGCUGCUCCGAGCCAGACCCCACGGAUUACUCGGAGCUGGCUGACGCAGAUAUACUGAGUGAACUGGCCUCGCUGGGCUGUCCAGGGGCCCAGCUGCUGGAGUCUCAGUCUCUGGAGCCCCAGCCCCAGUUGCUAUCAGCCCAGGAGCUCGAUUCCCAGUCCCAGUUACUAGAUUCUCAAUCUCUUGAGUCCCAGCCUCGGCUCCUAGAUGCCCAGACUCUGGAGCCCCUGCCCGAGUCCCUGGAGCUGCAGAGUUUGGAGCCGCUGCCAGAGUCGCUGGGCCUCCAGUCUCUAGAGCCCUUGUCCGAGUCUCUGGAGCUCCAGUCUCUAGAGCCCUUGUCGGAGUCUCUGGAGCUCCAGUCUCUGGAGCCCCUGUCUGAGCCUCUGGGACUCCAGGCCCUGGAUACUCUGCCCGAAUCAUUGGAUCCCCAGCUCUUAGACUCCCAAGCCCAGCUGCUUGAUCCUGAGGCCCAGUUACUGGACAAUCCGUCCCUAGGGCCCCUGCCCAAGUUGCUGGAGCCGCAGCCCCAGCUCAUGGCAGCCGAGCCCCUGGGGUCCCAUCCACUCCAGCCCCGCCUCGGUAGCUGCCGGCUGGGAGAGGUGAUGAAGCGGGGCUCCUGCGCGGGGCGGGGCAUGGGGCGGGGCGGGGAUGACCACCGGAAAUACGCGCUGCGCAGAACAGACAAACCAAAGAUGCUCGGUCGCCGGCGGCGGGCGGGGCGGGGCCGGAGGGCGGAGGUCUCUGCCGAGAGCCGAGUCCUUCCCCUGGCCAUGCCAGCAGAGGUAGUGCUGGGGCCAGCCGAGCCCAGCGUCUCCAUCCUGCUGGCAGCUCCCGCCCUGGAGGCCGACGAUGUCCAGAAGGCAGCCCUGCAGGCCAAGAAGGGCAAAUGCCGCGGGGUGCGCAAGAUGGUGGUGAAGAUGGCCAAGAUCCCCGUCUCCUUGGGGAGGAGGAACAAGACCACCUACAAGGUCUCCUCCCUCAGCAGCAACCUGAGCGUGGAGGGCAAGGAGCUGACGGCCCGCACCUCCAUGGAGCCCACCCCGCUGCUGAAGAUGAAGAACAACGGCCGCAAUGUGGUGGUGGUCUUCCCCCCGGGGGAGAUGCCCAUCAUCCUGAAGCGCAAACGGGGGCGGCCCCCCAAAAACCUGCUGCUGGGGCCAGGCAAGCCUAAGGAGCCCACCCCGGAGGUGAAGAAGAGGAGGAGGAGGAAGCAGAAGCUGGCCUCGCCCCAGCCCUCCUACAUCGCCGACACCAACGACAGCAAGGCCGACUACUCGGAUGUGCUAGCCAAGCUGGCCUUCCUGAACCGGCAGAGCCAGUGCUCAGGGCGCUGCUCCCCACCACGCUGCUGGACCCCCAGUGAGCCCGAGUCCAUCCACCAGGCCCCUGACACGCAGAGCAUCUCCCACUUCCUGCACAGGGUGCAGGGCUUCCGCCGGCGCGGGGGCAAGGCGGGCGGCUUUGGCGGGCGGGGAGGGGGCCAUGCCGCCCGCUCGUCCCGCUGUUCCUUCAGCGACUUCUUCGAGGGUAUCGGGAAGAAGAAGAAGGCCCCUGCCGCCGUGCACGCUGACCCCGUCCACCCUCGUAAGAGGGGCCGGCCAGAGCCGGAUUCCGUGGGGAAGCCCAAGCGGAAGAGGCGGGCUCGCAAGAACGGGGUGCUCUUUCCAGAGCAGAACCCCAGCCAGAACUUCAGUGACGGCACCUCGGAGUGGGCCGGGGACAAGGGGAGCCCAUGGGCACCCCACCACAGCCACCUCUCCAGCCAGGCUAGCAGGAACUGCAGCUACCAAGGGGCAGAGUCCCGGGCAUUCCACUCGUCGGCGCUGGAGUCCAGCUCUUCCAGCCGGGCCAGCUUCUUCACCGGGAGCAACCCGUCCUCCCAGACGGAGGUCAGCCAGGAGAGGCACAACCUCUUCACCGGCUACUUCCGCUCCCUGCUGGACUCGGACGACUCCUCGGACCUGCUGGACUUUGCCCUUUCAGCCUCGCGGUCCGAGUCACGGAAGUCCUCAGCCACCUACACGGCCCCGCCCAACACCAUGCCCAGCCAGCGGGGCCUGGCCUCCUACCCUGGCAGGAGCGCCAAAGUCACUCCCGCUGCUGCCGCCACCACCGAGGCACCCUUCCAUGCAGUCAUGCCAAGCCGGCAGUCCUUCUCCCACAGCCGGGCAGCCGGCUAUGGGGUCUCCCAGGCCGCCUCGGAUUGCCGUGGGGCCGACGCUUUCCAGAAGCUGGUGCCGCCCUCGGCCGUCUCCAGGUCGCCCACCGCUCACCCCACCGCCACCACCAGCUAUGCCCAGUACGGUAGCUACGGCUCGGGGCAGAGCGUGACGCCCUCCAGUGUGUUCCAGCCGGGAAAGCAGUACCCCGCUGCCCAAGACUGUCCCAACAACAAGGACUGCAGCUUCGCCUACGGCAGUGGGAACAGCCUCCCUUCGUCCCCCAGCAGCGCCCACAGCGCCGGCUACGCCCAGCAGACAGUGGGGCCCAGCUUGCCGCUCAGCAAGGCCUCCUUCUUCACCAGCUCCGAGCCGGGCCAGUUCUCCAGCUCCUCGCACACACCCCUAAGGUGCGACAGCCGGGCCAGCACCGUGUCCCCUGGCGGCUACAUGGUCCCCAAAGGUUCCGCUGCUUUCCAGCCCUCGUCCGAGAACUGCCGACAGUUCCCCAGCGCUGCCCAGUGGACUUUCCGACAAGGCUACGGGGGCCUGGACUGGAGCUCCGAGGCCUUCAGCCAGCUCUAUAACCCGGGCUUCGAGUGCCACAUCAACGAACCUAACGUCAUCCUGGACAUCUCCAACUACACCCCCCAGAAGGCCAAGCAGCAGACGGUCUCGGAGACCUUUUCUGAGUCCUCCUCCGACAGCACCCAGUUCAACCAGCCGGCCGGGUACAGGCGGGCCAACAGCGAGGCCUCGUCCAGCGAAGGCCAGUCCAGCCUGUCCAGCCUGGAGAAGCUCAUGAUGGACUGGAACGAGGCCUCCUCGGCCCCGGGUUACAACUGGAAUCAGAGCGUCCUGUUCCAAAGCAGCUCCAAGCCCGGGCGGGGAAGGCGGAAGAAGGUGGACAUGUUUGAUGCCUCCCAUCUGAACUUCUCUUCCUCUUCUUCCUCCUCCUCGGUGUAUCCCUCCAAGAGGAGCACGGGGCCCAGGCAACCACGGGGCUCCCGAGGGGCCUGCGCCUCCAAGAAGGAGCGGGGCACAGGGAAGGCCAAGUUCCCCACCAAAGCCCAGCAGGUCAACGCGCUGUUUCAAGAGAGCACAGACUUGGGGCUGGAUUAUUACAGCGGCGACAGCAGCAUGUCCCCACUCCCCUCCCAGUCCCGGGGCUUCGGGCUCGGCGAGCGAGAGCCGGGCGACUACGCUGGGCCCUACUCCAUGAACCCCUCCACCCCUUCCGACGGGACCUUCGUCCAAGGCUUUCAGAGCGAUUCCCCCAGCCUGGGCCAGACGGACUUGGAGAGCAAACACUUCCCCGCCCUGCCGCACCAGCUGGCCGCCCCGGCCCAGCAGACUGUGUUCGAAGCCAGCUUGCAGAAAGCCUUCUCGCCCAACUGCUCCCCGACCCUGGCCUUCAAGGAGGAUCUGCGGCCGAGCGACAUCCGCAAGCUGCCAGCCUGUGAAUCACUCAAGCACAGCAUGCCAGGGAGCGGCCUGCCCCACCCUGCGCACAUGGCCUGCCGAGACCUCCCCAUGCCUCAGCCCCUCUACGACUCCCCCAGCUGCAAAAACCCUAGCUACUGGUACUCGCCCAACUCCAGCACCCGGAGCCCCCCCUACGAGAACAAACCUGGGGCCAGCCUGCUGGUGGACUUCAUGGGGAGGGCUGACGCCUCCUGCCUCAACCCCCAUCUGAGCAACCCCAACACCUCCAAGGGCGAGAAGGAGCCCCUCGAGAUGGCCAGGGCUCACCACCGGGGGGCGUACGCUUGCCCCUUGAUGAAUGACUUGAAUAUCUCCCCAGUACCGAGAGACUCUAUGCUGCAGCUGCAGGACAACUACAGAGCUAAUUUAGCCAGCACUUUUUCUGGAACACUUUUCAAGUUCUGUAUUUAACUGAGAUCGAGAACUGUUUGUUUGUUUGCUUUUCUAAAAAAAAAGAAAAAAAGAAAAAAAAAGAAAGAAAGCAGAGAAGAGGAAGAGAGAAGCCCCCUGGUUUUUUUUUUAAAUAAGAACUCACUCCGUCUCUGAACAACAUGGCUGUGAUUUUUGGACCAAGCCGUGUUGUCGUGUCCCCCCACACACACACCUCCCGCUCCACAGCCUCUAGCAGAAAGACAAUCGGACAGCAGCCGCCUCCUUCCCGCCCCCGCCUGCAUGUGUGUGAGCCGACAGAGGGAAGGCAGCGGAACAGAACUCGGGACGGCAACGGGAGGGGUUGGGGGGGUUGGGAUUUUUUGUUGGUUGGUUUGAUUGGUUUUUCUACAAAAAUAAAUGAGAUCUGUGAACUCGAAGGAAAAACUUACAGCUGCCGACCGAGGACUUGGCUACGUCCCCUCUUCCGCCACGUUUGCCGUUUUGGAGGGUUUUGUUCAUUUUUUGUUCCCCAGUGUGUUUGUUUUUGGGGGUAUUUUUGUUGCUUGAUUUUUUUUUAUUUUUUUUGGAGAGCCAAAUAUAUAUAUAUAUUAAAAACUUCACCAGUGGAUCCCGGAGACACACCUAUUGCCUGCUUAUAUAAACAAAUGAGAAGACCCCACCCUCGCCCAUCCCAGCCAUGAGUUCACUACACCACAGUCUAGCAUCCACUGGCAACUCUGGGCAGGUUUUUUUUUAUUUUUUUGGCAGGGGCAUGGGGAGAUGGGGAAUGUUCCCCACUCUCAAAGCAUCUGCGUGCACCGAAAUCCCAGCCAGAAGAGUGAACGGCGCCGUCCCGCUUUUCGUCCACCUGAUCUCCACCCCGGGUUGGCCACUCUGCCUCUCUUCUACUCAGCCCCCUUUCUCCGCAACUUUCUUCUCCUCUCCCACUCUGUUUGGCAGCAAAGAUACCCCCGGUCUCUCCUCUGUUUGGAAGCAGAGGGACGUCUAUUUUUUUUUUCUGCACAAAACCAGCAAUUGUAUAUACUUUUGAAGAAAAGAAAAAAUGUAAAAAAAAAAAAACCCACAAAAAAAAUCAAAAACAAAAAACCCACACACACGGGAAAAAAAUUAAAAAUAAAUAAUCCAAAAAAAAUUGUUGAGAGGCAAAUAUGCAGGAGAAAGAAGCAAAAACCCACCAGUAUGCACUGAGAAAAUUUAUUUACAGAUCGAUCGACAAAAAAAAAAAGUAACAAUAACCUAUUUAUUGUAUAUACUGUUUUAUUAUAAAUCGUGUCUUGUAUAUUG